rnacentral:misc_RNA from 1 species
AGAAAAUGAUGAAGAAAGAACUCGUAUGAUCACCUCCUCAAGGCUCCUGAGGUACCAAUGAAGGUCCAUCUUAUGAUACCGAAGAUUGAUGAUGGGGUACAUAACUAGCUGACCAGGGCCAUGGUAAGUAACUUCACCACCACGUUCUGUUCGAUACAAUUCAAAAGGAGCCUUCUUUACAUCAAAAUGUAUAUUCUCUUCAGAGCUACCAGUACCCAACGUAUAAACCGGCUGAUGCUGCAACACAAUGAGUGUGUCAGCAAGAUCCUCAUUCCUUUCAAUUUGUGCUUUCCUCUCAUCAACAAUAGUCUUUUGCCAGGACCAUGCUUUAGCAUAUGGAACUAACUCUUUGUA